GAGAGUUAAACAGUACGUGAAAUUGUUGAAAGGGAAACGAUUAAAGUCAGUCGUACCUACGAGUAAUCAACCUACACGAGCGCGAUUUUGUGGGUAUGAAGAGGUAAAAACCUUCAUGCUUGCUAAUUGGUGUUCUUUGGGCGUACUUUCUCGUAUGGUAGGUUAACAUCAAUUUCGAUCGUUAUAAAAUGACAGGAGGAAUGUAGCUUCGACUUCGGUUGAAGUGUUAUAGCCUCUGGUAGAUGUAAUGAUUGGGAUUGAGGAUUGCAACGGAUACCCUCUGGGCUAUUCGUCUGAUCUCUGGAAGUUACCUUGGUGUCGAAAGCGUGCUUAUGACAUUAAGAAUGACGGCCAAAAGGUUAGAACGGAAUUAAAUUCGUUAAGGAUGUUGACGUAAUGGCUUUAAACGA
rnacentral:rRNA from 1 species